UGUGGAGAUGAAACGAGAAAAUGCAGCCAGUCGAGUACAGCACAGAGCAUAUAGCAAGAGCUCAAUAACUCUAACGGCUUCCAGCCAGGGCUCAACCCAACCCUUUUGUGCCCUGCAGUCAUCGCUGCGUCUUUAAAAGAAAAGCGAUCCGUUGGAAUGCUCUGCGUGCACAAGCCUGUCGGACUCAGCGGGCCCCACCUGCUGAGCAGGUCACUGAUUACAACGCAGGCUUUCAAAGAAAGAAGAGUCUAAAGACAGAGAGAAUCCACUCAUCAGCUAAUUAACUCCCAUAUCUUCAAGUGUUGACAGCUCUCUUCAAAGUCCUGGCUUUUCUAAAACAGGAAUAGCCCAGGGCCACCCCAAACACACUCCCCACGGCCCGCCCCCAGCAAAAGUAACCUGGGCCCUGGGGAUGGAUGAGGAUGGACCCAUCGAGAGAGGCUUGCUGGACAUUUGGCCUAGAGGUUGAUAAGAAACUGUAUCAGUCAAGCUUCUGCAAGGAACAGAUGGUGUCCUCAACAAACAGUGGUUGAAUCCUUGCUGACUAAACCCAGGAUGUCCAAUGAGUCACCAAAUCCUGUCAACUCUACCUCCUAAAUCUUGCUUAAAUCCCUUGACCGCCUCACAUCCUCACUGCUUUGUCUCCCCUUUAGAGCACU
ensembl:lncRNA